rnacentral:lncRNA from 1 species
AAACAGCUGGUAUGAGUUAGAAUCUCUCCUCCUUAGGAACUAUUAUGUCAUAUAACAUACUGUAUUAUUUAACAUUAAUAAACGAUUGACAUGCUAUCAUGAAUAAAGAGCUAUUUUUUAAAUAAAAAUGACUCUACGGGACAAGAACAGAUAUAUUAGCACACUGAAAUGGUUUAUUUAAAAGUAAAAUUCAUAAAAAAGUUACCUAUCCUGGUCUUACAUUAAAUUAAAAAUUGAAAGAUGAAAUAUCAUUUCAGACCUAUAUACAUCAAGAUUCCAGUUCUUACAAAAAUGUACUUUUGUUGUAAAUGUUAAUUAUCCAAAAAUAAUUUCAUAUUAAUUUUAGUGAUGUUUACUCAACUUUAAUAUUAAAAACCUUUAAAGAACUUAAACUUUAAUGGCCAAAGUUCCUAUUUUUCCCUAUUAAAAAAAGGUUUUGUUUUGCCUUAUUAACAUAUAAUGCCCUAUUAUUAAGGCACAACUUUUUAAGAUAAAAAUGGAACUGUUUCACACAAUAGUUAUGACACUUUUUGUAGGCAUAUAAUUAAAUUCACUAAGAUCUAAAAUGAAAAAUCAUCGCUUCUCGGCUUUUUGGCUAAGAUCAAGUGUAAAAUGCAAAAUCACUUUCUAUCUAGAACCAAUUGUCACAUAGCUACAAUAGGUAAUUGGAGCUAGAAUCAAAACAUUUGUUUUAAACUGUCAAGACCACCAUCAAUGUGGUAUUCUAGAGGAAAGCUGAAUAUUUUUUCUGGAGUGCCAUGCUACCGUCUUUAUUUAUGCUUGGGUCAUUAGGGGUAGCUGUCACCUUUCACAGCCCAAGCGAAAUCCAAAUUUGAAUCUAGGAUUGAAAAAGGGCAGCUGCUGAUCCUAGGGGUCAGGGCAGGUGCUUGCUUUGCAUCCUCCUUCAGCUACUCUUCCCUUGAACAGAUCUUAAAGCAUUUCUCAUUAGGCCUGGAAAAUACAAAAGCAGCUCAACGGACCCAGUUUUUCUUCCAUAUAUCAUGUCAACAUCAGCACAAAGAGCUCAGGCUGGGUCACUCAUACUGGCAUGUUUCAUGUCAAUUCCUUGUCAUGCUAUAGUUCUCACAUUUCCAUAAGUGUCUCUGGGUCUGGCCAAGUGAUUUCAGCCAGGUUCAUAGGCUUACUUUCAUUUGACAUCCAAACGUG